GUCGAGCGGACAGAUGGGAGCUUGCUCCCUGAUGUUAGCGGCGGACGGGUGAGUAACACGUGGGUAACCUGCCUGUAAGACUGGGAUAACUCCGGGAAACCGGGGCUAAUACCGGAUGGUUGUUUGAACCGCAUGGUUCAAACAUAAAAGGUGGCUUCGGCUACCACUUACAGAUGGACCCGCGGCGCAUUAGCUAGUUGGUGAGGUAACGGCUCACCAAGGCAACGAUGCGUAGCCGACCUGAGAGGGUGAUCGGCCACACUGGGACUGAGACACGGCCCAGACUCCUACGGGAGGCAGCAGUAGGGAAUCUUCCGCAAUGGACGAAAGUCUGACGGAGCAACGCCGCGUGAGUGAUGAAGGUUUUCGGAUCGUAAAGCUCUGUUGUUAGGGAAGAACAAGUACCGUUCGAAUAGGGCGGUACCUUGACGGUACCUAACCAGAAAGCCACGGCUAACUACGUGCCAGCAGCCGCGGUAAUACGUAGGUGGCAAGCGUUGUCCGGAAUUAUUGGGCGUAAAGGGCUCGCAGGCGGUUUCUUAAGUCUGAUGUGAAAGCCCCCGGCUCAACCGGGGAGGGUCAUUGGAAACUGGGGAACUUGAGUGCAGAAGAGGAGAGUGGAAUUCCACGUGUAGCGGUGAAAUGCGUAGAGAUGUGGAGGAACACCAGUGGCGAAGGCGACUCUCUGGUCUGUAACUGACGCUGAGGAGCGAAAGCGUGGGGAGCGAACAGGAUUAGAUACCCUGGUAGUCCACGCCGUAAACGAUGAGUGCUAAGUGUUAGGGGGGUUUCCGCCCCUUAGUGCUGCAGCUAACGCAUUAAGCACUCCG
rnacentral:rRNA from 1 species